UGGGAGAGAAAGAAAUCCAAAAUGGUCUAGAAGAUCAACCACGAAAUUCAACCACGAAAUUUCGUAUUAAUCCAAAAUGGUCUAGAAGAUCAACGAGAAAGGAAUCCAAAAUGGUCUAGAAGAUCAACCGGAAAAGGAAUCCAAAAUGGUCUAAAAGAUCAACCACGAAAUUUAGUGGGAGAGAAAGGAAUCUAAAAUGGUCUAGAAGAUCAACCACGAAAUUUCGUGGGAGAGAGAGGAGGAGAGACAAAUCGAGAGGAAGAGACAUUGUGAAUAGUUAUCGCCACCGUUGAAAAAGGAAUCCAAAAUGGUCUAGAAGAUCAACCACAAAAUUUCGUGGGAGGGAGGAGGAGAGACAAAUCGAGAGGAAGAGGGAGAAUAGAGUCACGACCAGAAAAUCGCGCAGAAGUCAGGUAAGGAAGAAGAUCUGUUGGUAUCAAACCAAUCCAUAGCCCAUAACCAAACCACGUCAAUCUAGCUCAAUCUUUUUCGGCAUAGCCAAACGUACAAUGGCCUAGACCCGAGGCCCAAACCAACCUUGGUCCGACUUGCUCGGCAACCCGCGAACUAACUCGACCUGUAACCAAUCCAGCCCGUGAACCUAGGCCCAAAUUCGGGCUCGGCUCAACCUUUCGACCUAGUAGCCCACAGUCUAGUCGAACUGACUUGAGACCAGACCCGUCGUCUAGUCGAAUCGGCCUGCAACCCAAGUACCUGUGGCUCAGCCUAGUAAGCCGAGGCCCAAAAGACCAGUCCAGCCCAGUAGCCAUCUGCAGCGGAUGACCCGAACUGGACUGCACCCACGCCUCGACUUGACGCCACCUGCACUACGUGGCGUGUUCUUCUGCUACCACGUGACGCCCAGUGGCGCAGGCGGUCCUUGGCUCAGCUCGAACGACUCCCAGCCUCCCUCUAACGAAUUUUCAACUCGGCUUCUUAGUUUUGGCACGAUUUCCACCGUUUCGACCCUUCCAGGAACAGGAACAUACGUUUAGCUAAUUAGGGAGUAUUUCGGCUAAAACCAACAAAGUAAGUGGCCUUACUAUAAGAUAAACCAUAAAUUAUAUAGUUUACCGUAUUUACGAGCAUGAUGAUGUAUGAGUAUGAUGUUUGAACAGUGAUGCAUAUUAUAUGUACGUGAUUUAUAUUUUGAUGCAUAAAGUACAUGUAAUAUUUGAUGCA